rnacentral:lncRNA from 1 species
CAAUGAUUCAAAGAUUAACAAUAAACCUUGGCUACAGGUGGACCUAAAAAGUUCCAUUGCCUUACAGAGAGGGAAAGUCAGGGAAGAAGGCCACAGAAGCCAAGAGAAACAUGUGAGAUGAGGAUCUCAAGAAACCACUGGGUUCCUAGGCCUUACUCCCUGGGUCAUCCAUGCAAAGCUGACCCUGUAUGUCUGAGGGGACUUUCCUCAGUCUUUGGUGCUCGGAAGUUGGUCGGUACCAGGCAGAAGACAACACCAAUUGAGGAGAAUACUGAGCAGGAAGUGUCUGAGCUGCCCCGCAUCUAAUACUGGAGACACCUGUUGGGAAGAAAGCUGGAAUCCAUAGGCCUUUGGUUGCAAGAGGCAGCUGCAGAACAAAAAGGUUCUAACAAGGUGUAAGUGUGGGGCCAUCUUGUGUGCAGUGUAAGAGAUGCCAAUGGGACAAGACGGGACCCAGGAGGAAGAGAUGAAACCUGUGGCUUCUCAGUAGUAUUGAGAGGGUGGUAUGCCCUUCCAGAUCCCUCCAGUAAGACCCAAAUCCCUGCCUUAACAAAGGAACCAUGUUUGAAAGAAAAACUGAUAGGUACUGGAAAGAAGCACUGAAACAACUUCAACAUUUGCCAUGUUUCAAAUGAUGGACAAGAACUAAGCUGUGAUCUUCCAUAAUCUGAUCAAAAGGACUCCUCUCGAUGCCUCCAACCCUCCCAGUGGUCGUCCACCUUGAAAGGCUUUACAUCAAUUCCUAAGGGACAAGACUGACCUAGCCGCAACCACCCUCCCUCAAAAACCUAGGGCGGAGCAUCGCCCUCCGCUGCCAGGGAGGGGACCCGAGUGACGAGUGACGCACAGCCACAGACGGGGGUUCCCUGUCCGGCAGGACUCGCCCAGCGGUGAGAACCCGCGGCUCCAGCACGCCGGACACUCCGCCGAUAGGGCCCCAGCAGCAGUUUCCGGCUGGAGGUUUAAGGAGAGGGGCAGCGCUGGGCGAAUUCCCUUCCGCGAGGUCCGAAUUGGGACCCGUCGCCUGCCCCUGUUUCCCGACCUCACUCCCCACUCUGGCCCCUGCCCCACUAGCUCCUUCCCACCAGUUCCCCGGUGGGAACCGAGGGGCGCCUCCGAGGCGCAAGGAGACUGAGUGGAAUUGUGGAGGUGGCAGAGGGCCCCCUAUGAGGCGCCUCUGGUAUUCGGGGUCAAGGUAACCACGAGCUAACCCUAGCUUGAAGUUUGGGCAUCAAAGGUUUCAGACCAAGAACCAAGUUGGCUGGAAAAGCGAGCGGCCCGGGCGGGGGUCUAGGACAGGGGUGAUGGGAGAGGAAGACAAGAC